rnacentral:lncRNA from 1 species
UGUUAAGAUGAUGGGAAGUCAUGGAAGAUUCUAGAUAGCCUUGUGCAAAGGUGGUGCCUCUGGUGCAAAGAAUGCUAUCUGUUCUCCUUUGAGUUGAUUCUUACAGUUAAAGAAACAUUCGGGUUUUUGCUUACUCCUUUUAGAUUGCCUCGAAAUCUUGGUUGAUUUUGUGGAAAUUUGGCCAAUUCAACUGGUUAUUAGAUAAAGUAGUAAUGGUAGUCUGGAGAUAUGCCUAACUCUGUGAUAGAAGGAGUAACGUGUUUUGUGUCUGUGGAGAUUUUUCAUUAUUAUUAUUAUUAUUUAUUUCUCUCCCAUGUUCAUAAACACUUGAACAAUGAAAUUCUCAAGUCUGGUGCUCCUACUUAGUGAUGCUUGUGUCUCAUGCUGCUGUGCUGCAUCUAAGCUUAGCUGCAUGAUGUUGUAGAUGCAGAAAUUACUGUAGGUAGCUUUGAAUCCUUAUUAUGUAACCUAGGGAACUGUACCUUAUACCUUUUGAUGUUAAAAGAGCUGUUUUAAAGUAAUGUAAAAGCCAAAGUCUGACUUCUGGCAGCUUUCAAGAAAAACUUCUAUUUGUCCUGAGUGAUCUGGAGAUGCUUAAAAGAAGCACUUUGAGUAAUAUUAUAACUACAAGCAAGUAUUCUAUAAUUAUAUAGAGAGUACAUUACUUAACACAAACUUAAAUGUAGCUAGGCUUCUUUCAUCUGUUGUACCUGGUGUAUUGAAAAAUCAAUAUUAUUUUCAAGGGUUACUUACUUGUGUCUCAGUUCAGUGGCUGAAAUGAUCUCCAAUAAAUUAUUUGCUUGUCCCUAUUCAUCCUGCUUAGUAACCCGGUGCUGCAAGUGUGACUGCAUGAUCAGGCUGCAAGGCAAAGUGACUAAGUCCUCUUCUGCUCAUUUUGGAAUUGAGAGUUCAAGCCACUGUCUCUUCUUGACAAGGAGAUACAGUUAUGUUCCUAACAUAAGUGUCACUUCCAACCUACUGGGUUGCUUCUCAGCUCUUGAACUGUACAUGGAGAUUCCUAAUUCUUCAAGAGAAGAAAUUCUGGAUGCAUGUGUGUGCUCUGACUGUGUCUUCUGA